AAUCUGGCGGCCUCGCGGUCGUCCGAGUUGUAAAUUAGAGAAGCGUCGUCCGCACCGGACCGUGUACAAGUCUCUUGGAAAAGGGCAUCGUAGAGGGUGAGAAUCCCGUCUUUGACACGGAGCCCCGGGGCAUUUGUGACGCGCUCUCGACGAGUCGAGUUGUUUGGGAUUGCAGCUCAAAAUGGGUGGUAAAUUCCAUCUAAAGCUAAAUAUUGGGGAGAGACCGAUAGCGAACAAGUACCGUGAGGGAAAGAUGAAAAGAACUUUGGAAAGAGAGUUAAACAGUACGUGAAAUUGUUGAAAGGGAAACGCUUCGAGUCAGUCGCGUCGGCCGGGGAUCAACCCGCCUCCGUGCGGGGGCAUUGUCCGGUGGACGGGUCAGCAUCGAUUUUGAGCGUCGGAGACAUUCCGGGGGAAGGUGGCAUCUUCGGAUGUGUUAUAGCCCUCGGUUGGAUACGACGGUUGGGAUCGAGGAACUCAGCACGCCGCAAGGCCGGG
rnacentral:rRNA from 1 species